rnacentral:lncRNA from 1 species
UGGUACCAAACCCUACCCAUCCAAAAUAAAGCUCACCAGCCGACACCCUUUUCUUCCUCCCUCUCGGUUCCACUGUGCAACACAAAAAAAAAGAAGAACAGUUUUCAACUCUCUCUCUCUCUCUCCCUCGUCUUAAUACAGCCGGCUCCGGCAACCGGAGCCAACUCCGGCGACGAAACAAACAGCGGUGGUUGUUCCAGCCGCGACAUCCCCAAACACCUCACCCACUCCCCCCGACCUACGCGAUUCCGACACCACCCUCCGACGAAGAUUUGCGGCGGUGGCGAAGCUGGUUUCUCACGACAGUGGUGGGUUCAGUUUGGUGCGAGUUCGGGACUCCGGUCAACUUUUGCGACACGAUCGGUUCGGGUCAGAUUUCAUGUUCAGGGUAAUCGUUCGUUCUCUUGGUUUUCCCAAUCUCUACUCGUGCGUUAAUUCAAGAAAUUCUCAUACGUAACCAAUGUUGUUAGACAAGACGAUGAAGAAAUCAAGUUAGGAU